rnacentral:rRNA from 1 species
AAUACCGGAUAGUUCCUUGAACCGCAUGGUUCAAGGAUGAAAGACGGUUUCGGCUGUCACUUACAGAUGGACCCGCGGCGCAUUAGCUAGUUGGUGGGGUAAUGGCUCACCAAGGCGACGAUGCGUAGCCGACCUGAGAGGGUGAUCGGCCACACUGGGACUGAGACACGGCCCAGACUCCUACGGGAGGCAGCAGUAGGGAAUCUUCCGCAAUGGACGAAAGUCUGACGGAGCAACGCCGCGUGAGUGAUGAAGGUUUUCGGAUCGUAAAGCUCUGUUGUUAGGGAAGAACAAGUGCGAGAGUAACUGCUCGCACCUUGACGGUACCUAACCAGAAAGCCACGGCUAACUACGUGCCAGCAGCCGCGGUAAUACGUAGGUGGCAAGCGUUGUCCGGAAUUAUUGGGCGUAAAGGGCUCGCAGGCGGUUUCUUAAGUCUGAUGUGAAAGCCCCCGGCUCAACCGGGGAGGGUCAUUGGAAACUGGGAAACUUGAGUGCAGAAGAGGAGAGUGGAAUUCCACGUGUAGCGGUGAAAUGCGUAGAGAUGUGGAGGAACACCAGUGGCGAAGGCGACUCUCUGGUCUGUAACUGACGCUGAGGAGCGAAAGCGUGGGGAGCGAACAGGAUUAGAUACCCUGGUAGUCCACGCCGUAAACGAUGAGUGCUAAGUGUUAGGGGGUUUCCGCCCCUUAGUGCUGCAGCUAACGCAUUAAGCACUCCGCCUGGGGAGUACGGUCGCAAGACUGAAACUCAAAGGAAUUGACGGGGGCCCGCACAAGCGGUGGAGCAUGUGGUUUAAUUCGAAGCAACGCGAAGAACCUUACCAGGUCUUGACAUCCUCUGACAACCCUAGAGAUAGGGCUUUCCCUUCGGGGACAGAGUGACAGGUGGUGCAUGGUUGUCGUCAGCUCGUGUCGUGAGAUGUUGGGUUAGUCCCGCACGAGCGCAACCUUGAUCUUAGUUGCCAGCAUUCAGUUGGGCACUCUAGGUGACUGCCGGU